UUUCUCUAAUUCCAUGGUUCCUAAUUCAAUCAUGCCAAGCUUUUCAGGUGGCUCAGCAAAAAUAUCUGGACAGAUCCCUCCACUUGUUGCUAACUUGACAGGUCUUUCAUUAUUGUAUGUCCUCUAUUCCUCUAUGAAACUUUGUAAUACCUUUACCUCCUCAAUCAGUCAAGUACAAUACCAUAACCUUAUAUUGUUUGUAGGGACUUGUCAUUUAAUAAUCUCAGUAGUCCCACUCCAAAAAUUUUGGCUAAAAGUUACAGUAUUUCAGGAAAUAACUUCCUUUGUACAUCUCCUUCUGAACAUUGUAUGGACAUUUCAAAACCACUAAACGAUACAGGAUCAUCUCAAAAAGUCAAGAGUCAUCACCAAAGGGUGAUUUCUGUUGUUGUUGACA